AAAAAAAAAAAAAAACUACUUAACAGCACAUAUCAAACAGUCCCGUACCUUUUACAAUCUGAUCUAUCCACUUUGAAAUUGAAGUUGUGCUUUAUUGUAUAUUUCGAUAAAACGUUUACGAGUAUCGGUUUGCUUUAUCCUUAUAUAACUGACAUGUGUUUAUCUCUAUAUCUUUGAAUCAAUUAUGUAAUUAGUAAUAUCUAAUUCUGGAAUAUAAUAUGAAUCACAAAUUCUCGAUUCAAGCAGAGCAAAAGCUUUAGUAUCCCUUUCCGUACCUUCGAUGCACAUAAUUUCUUCGGAUAUACCAUCAAAGUUAUGUAUCUCUCCACCAAUCUUCUCUAUUGUAUCAAUACAAAAAGGAUACAUGGCAAAGUCAGACUCAUUUUUUUCACUUUCAAAUACAAUUUACACCCACGUCAUUUGUAAUUUUAGUGGACAUAAUUUUCCUUAUCGAUCUCUAACUCGACUGAAAUAGAUGCUUUGAAAUUCAAAAAUAAAAUUGAUUGUCCACAACAAUUUCGUUACUUUUACAAUUUUCAUAGUUAACUUCACUUGCCCAUAUUCCUGAAUGCCUCAAGAAAAUAGAUAUAUUUUGAAAUUAUGAAAAUUUUCAACAUCAUCGACUGUUCAAAAAUCGUCUUCAAUGGAGAAGAUAAAAUUUUGAAAUUUGAAAUAGUGAAACUGUGAAUAUGUAAUGAUUAUGAUCAGUUAGGCGUUGAUCAAGGAACGUAAUAUAACAAAAAUAAAUUUUACAUUAUUUAUUCCUUUUUUAGCUCAACAAUAUUCUAUUUACAAUGUACCUUUUACAAAGUAUUUGCUUUAUACCUAUGUAUCCGUCUACAUUCAUAUUCAAGAAAUUUUUAUAAUAUUAAAAUUACUAGGAAUAAGAUGUAAUUUAGAUCUUAGACUAUGAGAUUUCUUUAAUUGAUUUCUUUCUAAAAUGGACUUAAAAGAAGAUAGCUCAAUUCAAUCAAAUCAUGAAAUUGGGCUGGGCUGAUCCAAUAUUCCAAGCCCAUGCAUGGGGGCUACAAGCCAUAAAUAGCUAUUUGUCAACUUCACCUCAUUUUAAUCAUUAUAUAUGGCAAAUUAGACACUUCAAGGACAACACAAGGGUUACAACUUUCAAUUGAUAAUUGGCACAAACAGCCACAGACGUAUAAAGAUUAUAAAUUUAUAAAGUAAAUUGAUUUACAUUUUCAAAUAAUUAUCCUAUAUUAGCAAAAAUUGCUUUCAAAGCAAUAACCCGGCACCACACAAUAUUUUAUUUUAUAAGUUAUUUUUGUUCUCAUUUUGUUGUUAGUUAUCAAAAUUUGUAAUACUUUUACAACAAUUAUAAUAAGAUUGUUGCGAUUUCAGCACUCCCACGAUGAAUCAGAAAGAUUUAUAUAGAAUGUCCUACUCUUUCAUGACUUUCCGAUCAACCAAACCACACUCUACCAAUAAGACCGGUCCAUUAUUUUAGUUUUAAAUUUUUUAUAGCUCUUCGAUCGAUAUUGUUCUUGGAGGUUUUGGUACUUGAACUCUUUCAAUGUACUUUAUUUUUCUUUCAAUAAACACAAUAGGGGUCUACAUCGAAUCCCCAUCACUCACCACCAAAGGUGAAAAAGCCUAGAUGGAUGUCAUUAACGAAAACGAAAAAAAAAGAGACUUUUUUUAUGUCUAUAUUCACUAUAACAAAAAUAACUUUUAGCGGCAUUAAUAAAGAGUGCUAAAGUCUUUUAUCAACAUUGGUGAAGUGUCAUUAGAAUCAAUGUCGCUAAAGGCUUUAGAAAUUUUAUGUUAUCUAGUCCAAAUUUUGCACUAAGAGAAGUUCACUGCCUGUUAUAAUAUAAUCAAAUAUAUGUUUUUGCUGAGCAUAUAGGGGAAAAGAAUUUGGUUAGCAUAAAAAAAUGGUACUUUUUGUUAGGUUAAUUAGACUUUCUUUCAACUUUCAAGCUUAACGAAUAAUUUAGCUCAACAUAUGUAUAGUAGAAAAUAGAAUAGGUUAAAAAUAGUCUAAUAUUUCCUUGUUUUUGGGAAAUUAAAAUGAGAAAAUACUAUGUAUAAUGACAAAUCAUUAAUUCAAAUUAAAUGUUAUAAUCACAUUUUGAUUUAAUUGUGUUAUGGAGCAAAGUGUUUGUCAGUCGUCUCUCUCCCUCAAACUCUCGCUCGCUUCCUCUAUCGCUCGCCUCUCUCGCUUUAUACAAUAAAAAAUAUGUAAAUUGCGUUUCUGUUUGUAUGAACAAAUACAUAUAUCUUUGUAAGAUACACUUAUAACAAAACAAAUAUUUUCCUGUCAAGUUCUCUUUUCUCUUUCUCUCUUAUACAAACAUAUAUUAUACAAAAUACAAUGUAUAAUUAUGUUUAUUUAAAGCGAGAGAAAGAGCAAUACUUGAUAUACAAACGUUUUAUUUCGAUUCAAUUGUAUACAAAUUCAAAUUUUAUACAGAUAUACAAAUGAGAGACUGUCAACGCUUUAUACAAAUGGCCUACCAGUGAUAUUAUAUAAAUCUGAAGAGGAGUUAGCGAAUCAUACAAUUGCUUCUUUUUUAUAUAUGUAUAGCAAAAUUGUCUAGCUUCUUUUGUAUAUAUGUAUAACAAAAUAGUCAUAACAUGGUUGCUGUGAAACACAAUUAUGCAAAGUAUAACUAUAACAUAAAAAUAUGAAUUUCAUGUUUAUUAUAUGUGAAAGUUGCUAAAAAUGAUUGAUCGCAUCUAGAAAAGACUUGGAAUAUCAAUUCAUGCCAUAGGAGGAAAUGUUGCAUUCCUCAAAAGACUUGUGGGGAUAAAAUAAAAUCUCCAAGUUGCAAAAGUAAUACUGGUGUCCACCAAGUUAAGUAGGAAACAAGUGGUCUAUCUAUCAAGUUGCAUAAUUUCAAAAAUCAUCGAUACUUAACACACAAAAUGAACUAAUUAAUUAUAUAUACUCACAAAGUAAAAGGGUAUUUCACUUAGAGAUAGUUUGACAGAAAAUAUUAGACAGAAAAUAUUAGAGAAAAUAAUGUUAUUUGUAUUAGCUUUGACACUAUAUAACUUAUUGUUUGGUAGUGUUUUCUCGCCCAUGCAUAAUUGUUACCUAUAUAAUUAACUUCACACAUAGAGUGAUACACUAUAUUCAGUAUUACUGUAUAUUCACCAUGUCAUUAACAAUAUAUACUAGUACUAUUCCUCUAUAUUCUAUUAAACUCUAUCUUCGGAGUUCAUUAUUUUGAAAAUUAAAUGAUACGUGUUAGUAUUUGAUAUAAUAAACUAGACAAUCGAUAGAUGAAAAAAAGUCAGCAUGAACAUUACUAAUCAUAUUCAUUAAUAUUCUUAUACACCUUAUUAACCCCUAAAAGAUAUAGAAUAAUUACAUAUAUAUGUGUGUGUAACCAUUUAUAAAAGGCAAGAAUUUUUCACAGUGCAACAAAAGAGAUAUUUAGUGUCAAUCAAUUUUUUUUAGUAUUGUCGCAAAAAUAUUUUGCGACAAAUAUUUUGCAAUACUUGUGUUAUGAUUAUCGCAUUCAAAGUCUCUAUAAUUUUUAGCGGCAUGUAUAUAAAAUUCUAAAUAUCUAAAAUUUAUUAUUAUUGAAUAAUAUAAUAUUGCAACAAUUAUAUUAUUAACGCUAAACUUUUUUUAAUAAUGUAACAUACUCUCUCCAUCCACAAUUAAUUGUCAUGGUUUUCUUUUAUACAGUCAAACUAUAAAAACUUUGACCAACAUUUUACGAUGUAUAUUUUCAUCAUAUUGAUGCACAAAAAGUUACAGUACUUAUCGUAUAGUUUUUCGAAUAUCUAUUUUUUACAAAAAAAUAUUGAAUUAACGUUAUCUAAUUUAAUUUUAAAAAUUAAUCAAAUCAACUUUAAAAAGCGUAACACGGAAAACAAAAGCAAACAAAGUAUAUAAAAUAUUAAAAUGUAUAUUGUCCGUAUUUAUGUGUUAAAUUUUUUCUAAAAAUUCAACCAACUAGUAGUGCCCAAAACUGAAAAUGAUACAUCCAGAAAAAUAUGGACCUUCUGCAGCAAGGAAUGGUCUGUCUUAAGUCCAAUCCAAAAAAGACUGCAAUAUGAGGCUAAACUACACUCUUAAAUACAUGGAAAAAUUAACCAACAAUGCACUAUCACACAUUCAUAUCUUGGAUGAGAUAAGAUUCACCAUAUUCCGACACGUGGCACCUUCAUUCUUGUCUAUUACUCACUCACUCUGGUUAAAAAGGAUGAUCUAGUUUGACUUGAAACGUAGUUUGAGAAACGAAAGAAGACUUUUUGAUUUUGUGAUUUUAAAUUAAAGUUAUGUCAAAUAUAUCAAAAUGUCCUUCAAUCUUGUGGUCUUAAAUAUGUCACGUGAAAAAUUAAAAUUAAAGUGUUAUCAGAAAAGGAAAGAGAUCAUUUUUUUGAAACAGAAUAAAAAAAAAUAGAGACAUUUUUUUUUUAAAUAGAGGGCGUAAAAUAUUUUUUAAAAAAGGCACUUAGCUCCAAUUUCUUACCUUUCAUGUGGCCAUUAAACUUUGUAAUAUAUCAACAACCAAAUCCAAUGGUCGCCCUUCAUCUAAGAUGAGGCUUCUUUUGUUUCUAUCCGUUAGAUUUUAAAAAACGUCUAAAACCUUAUCAUUAUAUAAAGGGACGAUACCACUGUGUAAUAAGCAUCUUUAAAAAAAAUAUAGUUUCUUUGAAAUUAAAAAAAAAAAAACAUUUUAUAGCUAAGUAAGUAAACGCAAUGGCUUCCUCAAUUGUCUCAUCGGCAGCCGCUGCUACCCGUAGCAAUGUUGCUCAAGCUAGCAUGGUCGCACCCUUCACCGGACUCAAAUCCGCCGCUUCUUUUCCCGUUACCAAGAAGAACAACAACGUUGACAUUACCUCCCUUGCUAGCAAUGGUGGACGCGUUAGAUGCAUGCAGGUUAUUCAAAAAUAAGUGAUUCAAUUAUCAGUAUGUAUAUAUAAUUUAAAUUCAACGCGAUUAUUUUAUAAUCGUGGAAUGUUUGACUAAUGUAGGUGUGGCCACCAAUCAACAUGAAGAAAUACGAGACAUUGUCAUACCUUCCUGACUUGUCCGAUGAGCAAUUGCUUAGCGAAAUUGAGUAUCUUUUGAAAAAUGGAUGGGUUCCUUGCUUGGAAUUCGAGACUGAGGUCAAUAUCUCGUAUUUUAUUUAAUGAUUUAUCUAAUUAUUUGAAGUUAUAAAAAUAAUUUGAACUGUCGUUUGUUUGUAAUAUAUGUAUGUAACAGCGCGGAUUUGUGUACCGAGAGAACAACAGUUCCCCUGGAUACUACGAUGGUAGAUACUGGACCAUGUGGAAGUUACCUAUGUUUGGGUGCACUGAUGCAACACAGGUGUUGGCUGAGGUUCAAGAGGCGAAGAAGGCGUACCCACAAGCCUGGGUUCGUAUUAUCGGAUUCGACAACGUUCGUCAAGUCCAGUGCAUCAGCUUCAUUGCCUACAAGCCAGAAGGAUUCUAAAUUUCCAAACAUAUAAUCAAAAUGUUUGUUUGAUUUGUACCUAAGUCUUUAAUUUUUUUUCUUCAAUUUUUGUUUUGCAUUUUGUUCCUAUUUGUACCGGUGUAUUUUCUUCGAUUCCGACCAAGUUAUGAGAAAUUAAUAAUGAUGAAUCGGUGGUUAUAUGUUUAAUCAUGUGUUCUUUUUUUAAAAAAUUUGUGUGGUGUGAAUGAGUUUUAUUAUCCA
rnacentral:lncRNA from 1 species